GUCCACGCCGUAAACGAUGGGCACUAGGUGUCGGGGGUAUCCACUCCCUCGGUGCCGCCGCUAACGCAUUAAGUGUCCAGCCUGGGAAGUACGGUCGCAAGAUUAAAACUCAAAGGAAUUGACGGGGGCCCGCACAAGCGGUGGAGCAUGUGGUUCAAUUCGAUGCAACGCGAAAACCUUACCUGGGUUUGACAUCUGGCGAAGACUCUUGAAAGAGAGUCGUGCCCGCAAGGGAACGCCAAGACAGGUGCUGCAUGGCUGUCGU
rnacentral:rRNA from 1 species